rnacentral:rRNA from 1 species
UACGGAGGGUGCAAGCGUUAUCCGGAUUCACUGGGUUUAAAGCGCACGUAGGCGGUCUUUUAAGUCGGGGGUGAAAUCCUGGAGCUCAACUCCAGAACUGCCUUCGAUACUGGAAGACUCGAGUCCGGGAGAGGUGAGUGGAACUGCGAGUGUAGAGGUGAAAUUCGUAGAUAUUCGCAAGAACACCAGUGGCGAAGGCGGCUCACUGGCCCGGUACUGACGCUGAGGUGCGAAAGCGUGGGGAGCAAACAGGG